rnacentral:rRNA from 1 species
GGUGGGGACGACGUCAAGUCAUCAUGGCCCUUACGAGUAGGGCUACACACGUGCUACAAUGGCAUAUACAGAGGGCAGCAAGACCGCGAGGUGGAGCGAAUCCCAGAAAGUAUGUCGUAGUCCGGAUCGGAGUCUGCAACUCGACUCCGUGAAGUCGGAAUCGCUAGUAAUCGUGGAUCAGAAUGCCACGGUGAAUACGUUCCCGGGCCUUGUACACACCGCCCGUCACACCAUGGGAGUGGGCUGCACCAGAAGUAGAUAGCUUAACCUUCGGGAGGGCGUUUACCACGGUGUGGUUCAUGACUGGGGUGAAGUCGUAACAAGGUAGCCCUAGGGGAACCUGGGGCUGGAUCACCUCCUUACAAAAAAG